rnacentral:rRNA from 1 species
CAAUAGCGUAUAUUAAAGUUGUUGCGGUAAAAAAGCUCGUAGUUGGAUUUCUACCGAAGAUAGCCGGUCGGGUCUUCGACCUUGUAUCUGGUUUUGUCUUUGGUAUCCUCAUAGGGAACGUUUCUGCGCUUUAUUGCGUGGUGCGGUAUCUAUGACUUUUACUUUGAGGAAAUUAGAGUGUUCACGGCAGGCAAACGCCUUGAAUAUAUUAGCAUGGAAUAAUAACAUAGAAUCUUCGUCCUAUUUUGUUGGUUUCUAGGGCUAAGAUAAUGAUUAAUAGGGAUAAUUGGGGGCAUCUGUAUCAACGCGUCAGAGGUGGAAUUCUUGGAUUGCGUUGCGACAAACUACUGCGAAAGCAUUUGCCAAGGAUGUUUUCAUUGA